UACAGGGGGUGCAAACGUUGCUCGGAAUUAUUGGGCGUAAAGGGUGCGUAGGCGGUGCGGUAAGUCUCUUGUGAAAACUCCGGGCUCAACUCGGAGCCUGCAAGGGAAACUGCCGUGCUUGAGUAUGGGAGAGGUGAGUGGAAUUCCCGGUGUAGCGGUGAAAUGCGCAGAUAUCGGGAGGAACACCUGUGGCGAAAGCGGCUCACUGGACCAUAACUGACGCUGAUGCACGAAAGCUAGGGGGAGCAAACAGG
rnacentral:rRNA from 1 species